rnacentral:rRNA from 1 species
UCGUACGAGAGUUUUUAACUCUAGUGGCGGACGGGUGAGUAACACGUGAGAAUUUGCCUUUAGGAGGGGGAUAACAAUCGGAAACGAAUGCUAAUACCCCAUAUGCUUUUGAGUGAAAUGGAUUUAUCCGCCUAAAGAGAAGCUCGCGGCUGAUUAGCUUGUUGGUGAGGUGAGAGCUUACCAAGGCGACGAUCAGUAUCUGGUUUGAGAGGACGAUCAGACACACUGGAACUGAGACACGGUCCAGACUCCUACGGGAGGCAGCAGUGGGGAAUUUUCCGCAAUGGGCGAAAGCCUGACGGAGCAAUACCGCGUGAGGGAAGACUGCCUAUGGGUUGUAAACCUCUUUUUUCAGGGAGGAACAAAAUGACGUGUACCUGAAGAAUAAGCAUCGGCUAACUCCGUGCCAGCAGCCGCGGUAAGACGGAGGAUGCAAGUGUUAUCCGGAAUCACUGGGCGUAAAGCGUCUGUAGGUGGUUUAAUAAGUCAACUGUUAAAUCUUGAGGCUCAACUUCAAAAUCGCAGUCGAAACUAUUAGACUAGAGUAUAGUAGAGGUAAAGGGAAUUUCCAGUGGAGCGGUGAAAUGCGUAGAUAUUGGAAAGAACACCGAUGGCGAAAGCACUUUACUGGGCUAUUACUAACACUCAGAGACGAAAGCUAGGGUAGCAAAUGGGAUUAGAUACCCCAGUAGUCCUAGCCGUAAACUAUGGAUACUAGAUGUUGAACAGAUCGACCUGUGCAGUGUCA